UACGUAGGGGGCAAGCGUUGUCCGGAAUCAUUGGGCGUAAAGAGCGUGUAGGCGGUCCGGUAAGUCGGUUGUGAAAGUCCAGGGCUCAACCCUGGGAUGCCGACCGAUACUGUCGGACUAGAGUUCGGAAGAGGCGAGUGGAAUUCCCGGUGUAGCGGUGAAAUGCGCAGAUAUCGGGAGGAACACCUAUGGCGAAGGCAGCUCGCUGGGACGUUACUGACGCUGAGGCUCGAAAGCGUGGGGAGCAAACAGG
rnacentral:rRNA from 1 species